ensembl:ncRNA T28C12.12 ncRNA
CCCAUCCAAUCUGGGCUUUCAACCCGAAUGUCGCCAUGCCUUAAGAAGUGGUCGAGUUGAGAGGCCACUGGCCGAAACUGAAAAGGGAAAGAGACUUAGAAUGAAACAGAAAGC